rnacentral:rRNA from 1 species
GACGAACGCUGGCGGCGUGCUUAACACAUGCAAGUCGAACGGAAAGGCCCUGCUUUUGUGGGGUGCUCGAGUGGCGAACGGGUGAGUAACACGUGAGUAACCUGCCCUUGACUUUGGGAUAACUUCAGGAAACUGGGGCUAAUACCGGAUAGGAGCUCCUGCUGCAUGGUGGGGGUUGGAAAGUUUCGGCGGUUGGGGAUGGACUCGCGGCUUAUCAGCUUGUUGGUGGGGUAGUGGCUUACCAAGGCUUUGACGGGUAGCCGGCCUGAGAGGGUGACCGGCCAAAAUGGGAAUGGGGUAAGGCCCAGAACACUAAGGGAGGGAGGCGUGGGGAAUAUUGCAACAGGGGCGGAAGGCUGAUGCAGCAACGCCGCGUGCGGGAUGACGGCCUUCGGGUUGUAAACCGCUUUCGCCUGUGACGAAGCGUGAGUGACGGUAAUGGGUAAAGAAGCACCGGCUAACUACGUG